CCUACGGGAGGCAGCAGUAAGGAAUUUUCGUCAAUGGGCGCAAGCCUGAACGAGCAAUGCCGCGUGAACGAGGACGGUCUUCGGAUCGUAAAGUUCUGUUGAAGGGGAAAAAGAGCGGAGAGCGGAAAUGCUUUCUGAUUGAUAUUACCCUUCGAGGAAGUCACGGCUAACUACGUGCUAGCAGCCGCGGUAAUACGUAGGUGGCGAGGGUUAUCCGGAAUGAUUGGGCGUAAAGGGUGCGUAGGAGGCCUGCUAAGUCUGGAGUUAAAGGUAGCGGCUCAACCGGGACAGGCUCUGGAAACUGGCGGGCUAGAGAGCAGGAGAGGGCGGGGGAA
rnacentral:rRNA from 1 species